rnacentral:rRNA from 1 species
GACAGAGGGGGCAAGCGUUGCUCGGAAUUACUGGGCGUAAAGGGCGCGUAGGCGGGAUGGCAAGUCGGUCGUGAAAUCCUUCGGCUCAACCGAAGAACGUCGAUCGAUACUGCUGUUCUUGAGGGUUGCAGAGGAGACUGGAAUUCCCGGUGUAGCGGUGAAAUGUGUAGAGAUCGGGAGGAACACCGGUGGCGAAGGCGGGUCUCUGGGCAACUCCUGACGCUGAGGCGCGAAAGCGUGGGGAGCAAACGGG